GUGGGGUAACGGCCUACCAAGGCGACGAUCAGUAGCCGGACUGAGAGGUUGAACGGCCACAUUGGGACUGAGACACGGCCCAAACUCCUACGGGAGGCAGCAGUGGGGAAUAUUGCACAAUGGGGGAAACCCUGAUGCAGCGACGCCGCGUGAGCGAAGAAGUAUUUCGGUAUGUAAAGCUCUAUCAGCAGGGAAGAUGAUGACGGUACCUGACUAAGAAGCCCCGGCUAACUAC
rnacentral:rRNA from 1 species